AUUGAACGCUGGCGGCAGGCCUAACACAUGCAAGUCGAGCGGAUGAAGGGAGCUUGCUCCUGGAUUCAGCGGCGGACGGGUGAGUAAUGCCUAGGAAUCUGCCUGGUAGUGGGGGAUAACGUCCGGAAACGGGCGCUAAUACCGCAUACGUCCUGAGGGAGAAGGUGGGGGAUCUUCGGACCUCACGCUAUCAGAUGAGCCUAGGUCGGAUUAGCUAGUUGGUGGGGUAAAGGCCUACCAAGGCGACGAUCCGUAACUGGUCUGAGAGGAUGAUCAGUCACACUGGAACUGAGACACGGUCCAGACUCCUACGGGAGGCAGCAGUGGGGAAUAUUGGACAAUGGGCGAAAGCCUGAUCCAGCCAUGCCGCGUGUGUGAAGAAGGUCCUCGGAUUGUAAAGCACUUUAAGUUGGGAGGAAGGGCAGUAAGUUAAUACCUUGCUGUUUUGACGUUACCAACAGAAUAAGCACCGGCUAACUUCGUG
rnacentral:rRNA from 1 species